AGCCUUAUAUUCAAUAAUGAUAUAAAAUUGCAAAUUUUAAGAGGUAAAAUUAAAUUACUAAGGCUU
rnacentral:tRNA from 1 species